GCUAAGCCCUUAACAUUGACAGCACAUUCUACACUGCUCUCCGCCAGAGAACUACAAGUGAAAAACUUCAAACUCAAAGGACUUGGCGGUGUCCCAUAUCGACCUAGAGGAGCCUGUCCUAUAAUCGAUACUCCCCGCUCUACCUAACCUCAACUAGCACUCCACAGCCUAUAUACCGCCGUCGACAGUCUACCCCAUGAGGGCCCAACAGUAGACACAAUAGCCCAACCGCUAACACGUCAGGUCAAGGUGUAGCACAUGCUGAGGAAGAGAUUGGCUACAUUUUUUACAUUAAAAAACACGAAAUGCAACAUGAAACCCUGCAUGAAGGUGAAUUUAGUAGUAAGAUCUAAUGAGAGUAUUUAUCUUAACAACGCUCUG
rnacentral:rRNA from 1 species